rnacentral:rRNA from 1 species
UACAGGGGGUGCAAACGUUGCUCGGAAUCAUUGGGCGUAAAGCGCACGUAGGCGCUCUGUUAUGUCGGAUGUGAAAGCCCUUGGCUCAACUGAGGAAGUGCAUCCGAAACUGGCAGGCUAGAGUACUAAAGAGGAUCGCGGAAUUCCCGGUGUAGAGGUGAAAUUCGUAGAUAUCGGGAGGAACACCGGUGGCGAAGGCGGCGAUCUGGGUAGAUACUGACGCUGAGGUGCGAAAGCGUGGGGAGCAAACAGG